GGUGAACGCUGGCGGCGUGCCUAAUACAUGCAAGUCGAGCGAACGGACGAGAAGCUUGCUUCUCUGAUGUUAGCGGCGGACGGGUGAGUAACACGUGGAUAACCUACCUAUAAGACUGGGAUAACUUCGGGAAACCGGAGCUAAUACCGGAUAAUAUUUUGAACCGCAUGGUUCAAAAGUGAACGACGGUCUUGCUGUCACUUAUAGAUGGAUCCGCGCUGCAUUAGCUAGUUGGUAAGGUAACGGCUUACCAAGGCAACGAUGCAUAGCCGACCUGAGAGGGUGAUCAGCCACACUGGAACUGAGACACGGCCCAGACUCCUACGGGAGGCAGCAGUAGGGAAUCUUGCGCAAUGGGCGAAAGCCUGACGGAGCAACGCCGCGUGAGUGAUGAAGGUCUUCGGAUCGUAAAACUCUGUUAUUAGGGAAGAACAUAUGUGUAAGUAACUGUGCACAUCUUGACGGUACCUAAUCAGAAAGCCACGGCUAACUACGUG
rnacentral:rRNA from 1 species